UUUGUGUCUCUCCCCCCUCCCCCGUAUCUUGUACAAGACAAAGCUACCUUUCCUCGUGGGAACGGACUGGCCGGGCUUUGGCAAUCUGGCCCCUCGAAAGACUAAAGUGACCUCUUCCAACAGGGGAAGACUUUCUGGCAAGCGGUGCCAGAAAGAACUGGAGUUUCUGGAGAAUAAAAGCUGGAAGCGUGCCCCUGAAAAUCCCCAGCCCUGGGUGGUCAGUGGUCUGACUUGCACGGACCGGUGGCCUUGGCCAGGAGCGGUCCUGCGGGAAGCGCCUUUGCCCAGGCUGUAAUUUUAAUUUCCCUUGGAUGCUUGGCAAAGCCCCUCUGGGUGAGCCCCAGUGCCUGGCAGGAGCAGAGCGGGCUUCCAGGGAGGUAUUCACCUGGUCAGCGUCAGGAACCAUCCUACCUGAGGCCUCGGUGAGUGCUUUUUGGACGACUGGACGGUGAAGCUGUCUGUGGGAAUGACCUGGCUAUGGCUCAGGGUAGUCCUAAUUAAGGUGUCUUUUCCUCCGUGUUCCCAGGCUGCCUCUUUCCCUUCGGUCGCCGUGGGACGCCUCUGGCAGGACUAACCCUGUGGCUUUUAUGUCCAACGUGCUGUGCUGUGUGUGCCUGCAGGUCAUAUUUAUCUGCCUGUCAGAACUCUUGGAGCACUGGAUGGAGAGCAGGUCCUAUGAAGAGGAUUAUGGAGUAAAAGGCAGCUUGUACUUAAGUGCAGGGUGGUUGGUGUUUCUGCAGUGUUUGGCACAGGACUGGACUGAAUGCACUCCCUUUAUUCACCUUUUCAGAGAGUAUCGUCCAGAAUACGAGCGCCUGAGAAAAACACUGGUAAGUGUUUUUAGCUGUUUUACACCUGAACAGUGUAUCUUGGGUCACUUUUAUGCACACAAUUGCCUUUAUGUUGAGAGGGUCUAAGUUCCUGUGCGAUUGGUCACACUCAGCUCUUCCUGUGUCACAGGUUUGGAAGAAACCCCGCUGUGUAGCUAAAGCAGUGGACCUACUAGAAAUAAUGAAAUACUUUAGAAAAGGCGAAACAGUCAGAUCAGAAUAUGAGAAAGCUCUGCUGUUGGCUGCACUGUUCCUUAGAUGAGGCGAGUAGGUGCUGAUGGAGUCUGUCCUGUGUCUGGGAUCCACAAGCAGCUUUCUAUCCCCUUAGAGCAGGUGUUCAUUGCUGGGUUUCUGUGCAGACAGAAGUUGUCAGUGCACACACUCCCUUACCUUCAGCAAGCUGGUUUGUGUACAGCCGUUUCUGUUCCCUUCAAGGACCUGAUGCUUCUGCAAUGGGUCCCUCUGAGCUAAUACUAACACGAGGAACUCUCGAUGAAGAGCAAGAAGAGAGGGAGGGUGACGCUGAUGGCAUUGACCAUGAAGGUAAGGGAAUGAGGUCUAAAAGCUGCCUCUCAAGAAAUCCCCUCUGUAUUUCAUGACCUGGAUGGACUGUAAGGAGAGCCUAGAAAACAAGCAAACAUUCAGUCACCUGACGUGUCAGAAUCUGUAGCAGAAGCUCAGCUGCAAUGGUCAGUGCAGGGAUAUCACUCUGUAACCUUUGUGAAAGUUCAAUUGUAAAUUUUCUAUUCAAGUAAUUAAUAGGUGUAUAACACACAUAAACCAGAGAACUUGUUAGGCUUGGGGCAUGCAGUGACCUCUGAACCUGUUUGAUGCACAGAUGUGUCCAUCAUCUUUUUGGCCUUACAGUUUCUGCCCCUGGCUCUCUUCCCUUUUCCUGUGACUGUGGUCUUGGAGCAAUGUUCUAAGUUGUUACAGUGUGAUUUUUCUCUUAUAUAGCUCACAGACUUAAUCUUCAUUCUUUCCCUGUUUCACUGAUGGGUAGGAUCACUUAUUUCCUUUGCCCUAUAAUGUAGUUGAAGAUGGAAUAGACUUUCUAUGUUGCUUUGGCUAUCCUGAUUCUAGCUUU
rnacentral:lncRNA from 1 species